AUCAUGAACAACUCAGAUUGUUUACAAUUUUUGACAUUAGCCAGCCUUGUCUUUACAACAUGUAUGUCAGAGCAACUUUUCAAAUCAAAAACACAUUCAAAUCUGAAUACCUCUUUGAUAUCUGCUGUAAUCGGCGGCCAGCGGAGCCAAUUUCGCCCAUUUUUUGUGCAAGUGUCCAGAUUCCACAGGGUGGAAAAUGGCUGGUCGUACUGUGGGGGAACCAUUAUUCAUGAGCACUGGGUCCUAACGGCUGCUCAUUGCAUUUAUGACAGGCAUCCGGAUGACAUGGUCGUUUUGAAGGGGGACUUUUCAAAUGAAUCUGCAGAGAAAGUUGGAGUGAAAGUGGAAAAAUUACAUUGGCCUACUACUUUCCGACGAAAACUGACAGGUUCAAAGAGUGAUGUCGGUCUCAUUAAAGUUUAUCACAACUUCUCUGAAGACUCAAUUCUUCCACUUUGCGGAAACUAUGUCUCUCAUUGUUCCAUAAUGGGCGCUUGUGGCACGGGUAUGGCUGACAGGCGCAGAGAGGAGAUGUCGGGGGGCUUGAAGGAAAUUCUGCUAUUCGAAAGACCUCCCGGAUGUUUGAAUUGUAUUUCACCUUGUCCGCCUGAUACAGUUUGCACUAGAAGAGUGAACAGAUUUCGUGCAGAUAAUUUAUACCACGGAGACAGCGGUGGACCCCUCUAUGUUUUUGGGGAGUUUCCGGAAAAUAAACCGAUUUGCUUGUACGGUGUUGCAAGCUAUUGUGGCAAAUGGAUAAUAGACAUUCACGGCUUCCAAUUAGUAAACUGUUAUUAUGGUGGAAGCUAUUUCGCAAGUGUACCAUUUCACUACAAUUGGAUUGCGAGUGCGAUGUUUUCACAUGAUCAUAGAUGAUAUGAUAACUGAAAUUAAAUUUUAGUCAGCCGACAAAUGCUGUUGAUUUUA